rnacentral:tRNA from 1 species
GCUCGCAUAGCUCAGUCGGUAGAGCAUCAGACUUUUAAUCUGAGGGUCGCGGGUUCGAGUCCCUCUGCGGGCG